GACGAACGCUGGCGGCGUGCUUAACACAUGCAAGUCGAACGGUGAAGGUGGGAGCUUGCUCCUGCUGGAUCAGUGGCGAACGGGUGAGUAACACGUGAGUAACCUGCCCUUGACUCUGGGAUAAGCGUUGGAAACGACGUCUAAUACCGGAUACGAGCUUCAGCCGCAUGGCUAGGAGUUGGAAAGAUUUUUCGGUUAAGGAUGGACUCGCGGCUUAUCAGCUUGUUGGUGAGGUAAUGGAUCACCAAGGCGACGACGGGUAGACGGCCUGAGAGCGUGAGCGGCCACACUGGCCCUGAGACACAGCCCAGCAUCGUACGGGAGGCAGCAGUGGGGAAUAUUGCACAAUGGGCGCCAGCCUGAUGCAGCACCUCCGCGUGCGGGACGACGGCCUUCGGGUUGUAAACCUCUUUUAGGAGGGAAGAAGCGCAAGUGACGGUACCUGCAGAAAAAGCACCGGCUAACUACGUGCCAGCCGCCGCCGUAA
rnacentral:rRNA from 1 species